UACGGAGGGUGCAAGCGUUAUCCGGAUUCACUGGGUUUAAAGGGUGCGUAGGAGGGUAGGUAAGUCAGUGGUGAAAUCUUCGAGCUUAACUCGGAAACUGCCGUUGAUACUAUCUAUCUUGAAUACCGUGGAGGUGAGCGGAAUAUGUCAUGUAGCGGUGAAAUGCUUAGAUAUGACAUAGAACACCAAUAGCGAAGGCAGCUUGCUACACAAUUAUUGACACUGAGGCUCGAAAGCGUGGGGAUCAAACAGG
rnacentral:rRNA from 1 species